rnacentral:tRNA from 1 species
UCCCUCGUAGCUCAGUGGCUAGAGCGUUUGGUUCAUACCCAAAAGGUCACAGGUUCGAAUCCUGUCGGGGGAG